GACGAACGCUGGCGGCGUGUUUAACACAUGCAAGUCGAGCGAUGAAGCUCCUUCGGGAGCGGAUUAGCGGCGGACGGGUGAGUAACACGUGGGUAACCUGCCUCACAGAGGGGAAUAGACUUUCGAAAGGAAGAUUAAUACCGCAUAAGAUCGUAGUGCCGCAUGGCAUAGCAAUUAAAGGAGUAAUCCGCUAUGAGAUGGACCCGCGUCGCAUUAGCUAGUUGGUGAGGUAACGGCUCACCAAGGCGACGAUGCGUAGCCGACCUGAGAGGGUGAUCGGCCACAUUGGGACUGAGACACGGCCCAGACUCCUACAGGAGGCAGCAGUGGGGAAUAUUGCACAAUGGGGGAAACCCUGAUGCAGCAACGCCGCGUGAGUGAUGACGGUCUUCGGAUUGUAAAGCUCUGUCUUCAGGGACGAUAAUGACGGUACCUGAGGAGGAAGCCACGGCUAACUACGUGCCAGCAGCCGCGGUAA
rnacentral:rRNA from 1 species